CGCUGUUUCAGCGCAAAUUCAUUUCCGGCGAAUUUCUGUUCCUCGUUCUUUAAAUCCUUUGACAUGUUUUGACAGCUUUCCUCUUGAAAACCACGAAAUAUUUCGAGUAAAAGACCUCGAAAUAUCAUCGAAAGCAUCGUUCGCCAACCAUGGACAUCGCCGGCUUCGUCUGGGCCGACUGGACGCCUGAUUCGACUCACGGCUUUCAAACAAUUGAACACUUAAUCUCUUUUAAUCUUCAGGCGAUCUCAGCUCCGUACGAUCGCGUAUUUGAUAUUUCAAGCGGAGAAAGACAGCCAAAAGGAUGUCGAAGAUAAUUUAUUGUUAGGGAUGUUGCUUGCUGUGCUUGCUGGUCAUUUGCAAGAGCCUACAAUCCUGUGGAAAUAAAACCAUAUAUUGAAGAGAUUGCGAGGGAACGUUACCUCAUGGUAUUGAUAUUCUCACGAAAACAGAUUAUUACGAAGUGGGGAAUAGAAAGAAUACUUAUCUUACUAUGACGUGCGUGUUAUAUUCCCUGGAAAUAUUGCUACAUCAUGUAUAACAUUCUUUAAUUCUUAGUUAACUAUUUAUCAAAUGAUUUGUUUCAACUAGUCUACUAAUUUGUUCAGAAGAGUAAUGAAAAUGAGCGUCGACAGCCUUUUCAAACUUGUCCUCAUCGUAGCCAUAUUUGUUUUCCGCUGGGUAGGAAGCCAUUCUCAACAAGACAGGAAUCUAAGAAGUUUGUUUCCCCACGUAUUAGCUAUUCUUUAUUCCUGUGGUCUAAUACUCUAAACUAACCACGAGAAUUUCUUUCACAACGAACUUUUGAUAGUCAUUUUUAGUACAAAAUAACUUUAAACAACUAACAUCUUUGUGUCUGGUAGCCGAGUAUGGGGUGUAGUCGCAAUGUUACAGUCGGCUGGUCACGUAUCCUAAUAAUUUACAUAAUAUAUUGAUUAGAAGCUCAAAGGUCAAUUCUAGUUAUACAAAAGGUUUUCCUCGUUUGCAAACAGCGGCCAUCAGUGUCCAACUGUUGUGUUUACGAAUAUUUGAAAAUUUUUGGAGUCCAGACUCCAGAGAUCAUGAACGUUGCUUGCAAGUGGACUUCUGGUGACGUUUUCGUCCAUCACCUCACCUCACUAAUAAUCGUGUUUAUUUCCUAGUGUCUACAUCGCUCAAUAUGAUACAUCGCUCAAUAUGAUGAAUAUCGUCAGUGCAUUACUGCAAGAGAAAGCAGUCAGUGCAUUACGUCAUUUUACAACCUGUUUUUACAAAAUGAAGAAUGGAUCUUCAGUGCCUGAACUUCAAGAUUCAUUGAUCAACACGUACAUCGAAAACUUGAGGCAAUCAUCAGAAACAACGAGGCAGGUAGAAUCAUUCAUGCAAGUUCUGUCUGAUCCAGUCUGGUUUACCAAAGAAUCCAGAAGAAUGCUUUGGGAAGGAUUUGCGUUGGCCUUGGGCGUACUCCCGAAGUUCAUGCUUAAUGGUUACCUCGCUGGGAUACGCUUUGUUAGAGCGCUAAUUCUGAGUAUUGCUGAGACUGUCGGUGUUAAAAGAGAAGGGGAAAGCAAUAGUGUUAUCAAUGAGUCUAUCCUCACGCGACUCUUUCACUGUUGUUUUAAAGCUAUGAAUGAUUACACGAUCGACAGCUGAGGUGAUGUUGGAU